UGCAAAAGAAAGGGGUAAGGGAGAGCAAAAGCAAGGGGUAAGGGAGGGCAAAAGCAAGGGGGAUCAUGGUUUGGACAAAAAUAGUGAGAAGUGGUCAGAGUCCAGAUAUAUUUUGAAGGUAGAGCCAAUGGAUCUUCUGAGAAA